rnacentral:tRNA from 1 species
GAUAGCUCAGUGGUAGAGCGUUCGGCUGUUAACCGAAAUGUCGUAGGUUCGAGCCCUACUC